UACGCGUCACUCGCAUUAAUUGUUGAUUUUUUUCAGGGUCUUUCUUGUAUAUAUUGUUUUCAUUUUUUUAUAUUAUAAAUAGAGUUGUAUUCUAUAGGGCUAACUGCUAAAUUUUUCUACAUAAGAUAUUGCAAAAUGUCAUUACUUUUGGACUCUGCAAUGAUUCAUAUUAAAAGAAUUCAUAAUUAAUUAUGUUUGAUUUCUUUGUCGAUUCAAUUUCAUGGUGGAUAACGUGUUCGCAGUAAUAUUUUCCUACAUAAGUUAAUGAUUUUUCAUUUGAAUAUGCUUAUAUGAAUGUGUUGUUGUCCAUAGUCAUGCAAUACUGCAGAGUCGCAUACUACUUAUUUUUUUCUCAACGCCACUUGGAAUAUGACCCUCAAAACACUUGUGGCUUGUAUUUAAUCCUUUUAUUAUCAUCCUAUUCCAACCUCAAAAAGUGUUUUAAGUAUAAAAUAGUUAGACACAUUUUUGAACUUAUUGUUAGUUUAUUACAAAG
rnacentral:lncRNA from 1 species